rnacentral:rRNA from 1 species
AUUGAACGCUGGCGGCAUGCCUUACACGUGUAAGUCGAACGGUAGAGGGGCAACCCUUGAGAGUGGCGAACGGGUGAGUAAUGUAUCGGAACAUGCCCAGUCGUGGGGGAUAACGUAGCGAAAGUUACGCUAAUACCGCAUACGAUCUAUGGAUGAAAGCGGGGGAUCGCAAGACCUCGCGCGUAUGGAGUGGCCGAUAUCAGAUUAGGUAGUUGGUGGGGUAAAGGCCUACCAAGCCGACGAUCUGUAGCUGGUCUGAGAGGACGACCAGCCACACUGGGACUGAGACACGGCCCAGACUCCUACGGGAGGCAGCAGUGGGGAAUUUUGGACAAUGGGCGCAAGCCUGAUCCAGCCAUUCCGCGUGCAGGAAGAAGGCCUUCGGGUUGUAAACUGCUUUUGUACGGAACGAAACGCGCUGAGCUAAUACCUCGGCGUAAUGACCGUACCGUAAGAAUAAGCACCGGCUAACUACGUGCCAGCAGCCGCCGUAAUAC